AGCAGCCGCGGUAAUUCCAGCUCCAAUAGCGUAUAUUAAAGUUGUUGCAGUUAAAAAGCUCGUAGUUGAAUUUCGGGGUUAGUAGGUUGGUCAUGCCACUGGUAUGUACUGGUCUCACUGAUUCCUCCUUCCUGAUGAACCGUAAUGCCAUUAAUUUGGUGUUGCGGGGAGACUGGACUGUUACUUUGAAAAAAUUAGAGUGUUUAAAGCAGGCUAACGCUUGAAUACAUUAGCAUGGAAUAAUGAAAUAGGACGUUCGAUCCUAUUUUGUUGGUUUCUAGGAUUGACGUAAUGAUUAAUAGGGAUAGUUGGGGGCAUUAGUAUUCAAUUGUCAGAGGUGAAAUUCUUGGAUUUAUUGAAGACUAACUACUGCGAAAGCAUUUGCCAAGGAUGUUUUCAUUAAUCAAGAACGAAAGUUAGGGGAUCGAAGACGAUCAGAUACCGUCGUAGUCUUAACCAUAAACUAUGCCGACUAGGGAUCGGAUGAUGUUAAUUUUUAAUGACUCAUUCGGCGCCUUAC
rnacentral:rRNA from 1 species